AGUGGGUUCUAAGGUGACGCUCUUGAUAGACAGCGAAAAGCGGCGUGUUUUUUAUUUGCUUAGAUUCCAAAAGUAGUCUCGAUUCAACAGCUCACAUGUUAGGUAUUAGUUUCUGUCAACGGAACAUCUAAACCUGACUUGCAGAAGACAAAGUUCAUUAUCACGGCAAUUGAAAAUGUAUGUGAUUGGAAUAUUAACGUACACUACGUUUGUUGGCGGAUUGAUUACUGUUGCUACGUCAAGUGAUGUGACAAAGCAGGAAAAAUUAUUCAGGAAUGAUCAGUGCACACUUUUGCUAAAACGCGCAGAAAUCUUUACAAUAAUAAAUUAGGUUAAUUUGUUCAAUCCACUUGAACCAAAGCAACGAUUAUGAGAAAAUAUAUGCGACAACAGAGAACGUCAACAACAACAACAAAAUUAAUAGAUACGGCGACAGCGAUGGAACGGCGUAUAUAUAUAAUAUAAUCAAUUUUUGUUCAGCACUUAGUCUUAAAUAAAACUUAGUAACUGUCGCUCGAGCAGGUACCUGGUAAAAGUCUGUGUUUAAGUUUCGCGUUUCGCGUAGAUCUUUGAAAAAAAUCACGACCGAAAAAAUCGUCACCGAAACAAGGAAGUACUACAACAAAGUGGCGGCCGAAAAAUGCUUAAUACUUAGUACUAAAAAAACUUGUUCCUGGCGGACCAUUUAAAAGAUAAAAAAUUUUAAUUUAACAACCAAAAAGACUGAUAAAGAUUUAGUGUACAGACCCAAACGCAAUAAAAGACGAAUCAUCAGGGAGAAGUCGAGGAAAAAAUAAAAAGUGUUUUAGAAGCUAACCUAAGUAGUGAACGAAGAUUUUCCAAAAAUAUAUUUCAAUCAAUUAUGUGUAAGCUAGCGAAAAAUCUUAAGGAACUAGAUAUAUUACCUGACACUCUGAUUACUUAGAGACUUUUCAGGAAUAUUAAUCUUAGAAGAAAAGCAUAGAAAGUGUUUUAAAAAAUAACGGGGCCAAAAUAUUAGGGGAUUCUUUUGUAAAAUUACUGGACAAGCGGACGCAGUUUUAGAAUCAUAUAGCGCAUUUUGUGUAAAACGAGUCUUAAAAACAUUGUAAUACCAACUAUAUGCCCAUACAGGGAAAAGGUCUUAAAGGCGG